UAGUUGAAUUAGAGAAAAGAAUUUCCCUACAUAUACGUUCGACUGGUAACAAUACUGGUAAAUUGAAUGAGACCGUGCAUGAUUGUAGGAACGUAUGAUGAGUAAGAUAUAGAUGAAAAAGUGAAUAAAUGUGUCAUGGAAGACAUAUCGAAAAGUGCGUGCGAGGUUAGAAAGAAUAUAAUAUUAUAAUAUUAAAACAAAAUUAGUGUUAACUGUGAUUAAUAAAUAUAGACAAAUAUAUAAUUUAUUUAAUUUAUGUCUCAAUAUAAAGUUUAGAUUCAGAUAAGUGGAUUCAAUCUUAUACAAUCAAAAGUCAGGACGCUAAAAAAAUCAAAGAAGACCUAAUAAGAAAAAUUUGCGGUAUUCGACAUCCGCAAUUAUCAACUCUCAAAGUUGCACAAGUUGGCAAUAAAAAAAAAAG